rnacentral:other from 1 species
GGUGCCCUGCUGUGUGCGUGAAACAGCUACUGCGUUCUGAGCCAACACCCACUUAUNNCCCCCCUGCGAAGGCAGGUUCAGAACAUCGUUGUUCACGGCAUGGUGGGGCCUUU